AUGGACCAUUAUGGAGGCACCUCUGCCCCCUCUCCCAGCCAGGACCUGACAGUGCCCCCCCCCCCAGACGGGGGCUUCCGACCGCAAGAUGGGAACAUCCAAGGGGGGAGGCCAGGGACACCAGGUGGUGGCUCCUCCCCCAGAGCAGGACAUGGCACCGGGACAGGUGGAGGCGCCGCACUUGGAUGCAGGACGGGGGCGCCGGAGCGGAGGGAGGAGGCUGGAAACCGGCAUUGGGGGUACCAGCCUGUGAACCAGAGUGCAGUGACGGGAGACCCGUCAGGUCUUCUCCAACAUCCCCUGGUCCCGAUGCUGCAGGGGCUCAUCCCAGGGCCCCCACGAGUGGUGUGGCAGGAGCCCCACGUCGUCCUCUUGCUGCUCCCGCUCCCCUGACCGCAGGAGCUCUUCAUUGAGCCCCCAGUGGUCUGGCGGCGGGGCUCCACGUCCCUUCCCUCGCACAGGACCCACAGCCCCCCCUCCAAAAAAAAGAGAAUGUCAAGGGGAUUUUUCCUGGGCUGGACGCUGGGCCUGUGUGUGGGAACGCCAGCGUUGUCCCCGCCGGCGUUGCUGCCGCCAUGGAUCCUGGGCUAGACCACAGAGGUACUCCUCAUCAGUGGUAAGCUCCUUACCAUUGAGUAGCUCCCCCAUGGUCCAGCUCUGCUUGGUCCUGGUCGGGUGGAUCAUUCUGUCACGGCCGAGAGGCAGGACACGGUGCAGAGCUGUAAUACACCCUUUUUAUUUAGUCAACUUCACUCAAAACAACAAACAAAAUGAUCCGUAAACCGUGAUCUGAGGCAUAAAACACAAACAAUGAUCCACAACUGAAUGCUUAACAAGGGCAACUUAAAUAGGGUCCCCAAUAAGAAACACAGCGCAGCCUCCAAUAUAAUACCAGAAAUGUCUUCAGUGGCAACACAAUUAGAAGCAGCAUUGAAUGGGAGGAUACGAGUGAUCCUGGCAAAUUGGUGAAUAGAUACACAGUAGGGGAGAGGCCUAGUGGACACCAAUAGUGAGAGCCACGGAGCAGACCGUGUCGAAGGCAGCAGAGUUAUCUAGGAGGGGGGAGUAAACACCAGCAGUGUGGAGAGCCUCUGAGACAUAGAGGAGAGCAGUCUAGUUGAGUGACCUGUUAUGAGGCAUGAAUGUUUCAGUUUGAGGAGAGCAUUCUGAGAGAGAUUACAGGAGUUGGCCAGAGACGACACGCUCGAGUGGUUUGGAAAGUAAAUAAAGAGGGGUGCUGGUCUUUGGUUUUGGAGUGUUGGUUUAUUGAGAAGACGAGCAACUCUGGCUGAGUCCACUCUAGCAGCAGCCUAAAGGCUGGCAGAAACGCUCUCAGAGCUUCACGGUAUGAAAUCCUGGGCUUCGUUACAGUCCCUACUGGUCAGAGGGUGAGCUGGGAUGUGAAGGAUGCUAGAUAGGCUGUUAGUAGAAACAGCUACAUCCAGAUAUUUCAGCCAAAGGAGACAAGACCAGCUAGUGAAGCUGGUGGUAAACUGAAUAUUUCCACACUGUGAAAUGUGUUUCUGAUGAUUUUUGAGGAAUAAAUUAUCGCAAAGUAUAAUAUUUCAGUGUAAUUUGUUCAAUUUGGUUGACUUUAUCUGUCACUAGUGUUGAAGGGAAUAUUUAAUAUCCAUAUUUACAAACCUGUGAAAAACAGACUAUCCUACCCAGUGCCCAAUUGGAAAACACACAACCCUCCCAUUUGUACGACAAGCGUUCCCACCC
rnacentral:lncRNA from 1 species